GCUUUGCAAUGUUGUAAUUGGUCGUCGGACGAUUCAGAAGUGAAGUUUGUUUGUAAACAAACGAAGAGGUGGUGUGUUAAGAAGUAGGACUUGUGGCCUAUAGUACCAAAUGUCAUUGUUUUUGUGGCAAAAGCAAUACAGUUAACGGAAUAUCAUUUCAAAAAUAUAUUCUUAAAGUGUGCUUCCAGUGAUGUCGAAACGAUCAGUGGUAUGGUCAGCAAAGUUGAUCUUGCAGCACUUCAUCCGAAAAAAGCUGUUCACGAGAGAUGUUAGCAGUUUCUUUUCCGGCGCUAGGAAGUGCGUUUAUAUUAGUAGUGCCUGUUAUGUUGAGGGACGCAGAGAAGAAAGUGCUAUCAGCAAUUUUAAUCCAUCACGAGUAACAGCUCAACAAAGUCCACAGGAGCUCCUUAUCCAAAAUGCAGUGAGCAGAGAUGAGCCUUUUACACUGGAGGAGUGGUCGUCAUUAUGCGAGGAAAUACUGGUCAGCAAAGGCAGACUGAAACCUACAACACUGGCCGCAUAUAUAAUGUCACAGUGUGUCAGAUCCAGUAAUCUAAAAGUGGGUCUAUCGUUGCUGACAUACCUGGAAUCCACAGCUUCUGGACCAAACCUUGCGACAUUAAGUGCUUUCUUCAAGCUUUGGCAUGCUUGUGGAGGAAGUUAUGAAGAAAAGGAAGUGUUGUCACGAUAUGACAACUUGAGAAAACAGUAUCCUCUGUUAGAUGCUGCUACAUCUGAAAGUGCUGCAAUGGCACUUUCACGUACUUCGAGGUGGCAAGAUGCUUUUGAACUACUGGAUAUGAUUAAGCUGACGCACCAUCCUAAAUCUGCUGUUUACACUUCCUUGGCUGUUGCUGCAUUUCGUAAUGGAAAUAAUGAACUUGCCCACUCAGUCAUGGAGGAAAUAUUUGAACGGGAUGAUAGACGACCAGGUCCUGAGGCCUAUUUGGCUUGGCUGCAGCACAGUGAUCCAGAAGAACUGUUACAUUUUAUUGCAACCCAUGGAGAAAAGCCUACUGACGAAGUAGUGUGUGCUUUGUCUGAGAAGCUGGAAGCUGACAGAGGAUUUCAAGCAAAUUUUACAACUGUAAACAAGAGGGGCAUUUGCCAGACAUGUAACAAUCAGUUGACACCACAGCUUCCCACACCAACUGAAUAUAAGCAGUUACAGGUGGCAAUGUUGGACCGGGUUUUACUAUCGGAUGAUGUAUUUCUUAAGACAUCACCUAAAGAGGUUGUUCACUUUCAAGACAUGUUAAAGAAGAACAGAACUUGGGAUGUAGUAAUAGAUGGCCUGAAUGUGGCAUUUGCUAGUGGCUCUUCUUCUAGUAGCAGUCAUGCCAAGCUGCUUUUUCUUGUAGUGGAACAGUUCUGGCGGCAAGGGAAAAAAGUGCUUGUACUUGGUCGCAAACACAUGAAAAACUGGCCCAAAAGACAGAUGGAAUCACUUUCUAAUUGUGCUCAGUUGUUUCUAGCUGACAAUUUGAUCCAUUGCCAUUCCACCCAUUUGCUCAGCAUCAUCAUGAUGGUUCAUGGCAUCUGCCUUAUGAGGUCCCAGGCUCAUCCCCAAAUAAGAGAUAUAAUCAUUUGGAAGUCCCAGAACAUUGGUUGUGCCUCUCAAAAGUAUAGGUCUCAACCUGUGCAGUAUCUCAUGCAUGGGUGGCACGAGAGGCUUGUGCUCACCCUUCUUCUUACUUCCUUUUGCCGAUACCUGCAUCAGUGCAUCUGAAGAACCCUGAAAUGGUCAUAGGUGUUAAACAUGAACCAGUGCCAUUCUACAAGGUGUACAACUUUGCUUCUGUCGUUUGCUGAUAAGUGGCGACAAUGGGAAGUUUUCUAAACAUAUAAGAAACUCAUGUAGAGGAAAGAAGGGAAAAGUAGCCAGGGCAGCUCAAAUGACCACUGCAGAUUUUUUGCCAUGAACAAUGUUGCUGCCUACUGCGGAGCGGUCAAACCAAUUCUAAUAGACAUCAACAUUGUCAGUGAAUUUGGCAAAGGACGUAAGCUCCUCUAUUUUUCAAUAAAAAAAUUUCUGAUUUUCGUCAUCUAAUGUAAGCUUCUUCCUCAUCUGGCAAGUGACCAAAAGGUUCAGAAGAGAUUGAUGCAACACUUGUCAAAAUGACACGAGAAUCACUGCUUGAUGUCAGCACAAGCUGAUCGUGGAAAUGAUUGUAUCUUAUACUCCACACCCUGAAGAAAUAAGUUGUAUCUGUCACUAACAAUUAAAACAUAUGAAAUCAUUUGCUGCAAAUUUCUUUUAUGGGUUGCUGUUACACUUGAAUUGGAAUGUACAAGUAAAUAAAAUUUGUUUCCUGCAUA